UGGGGUUGAGUCUGAUUGGGAGAAGGCAGAGAAAAUGCACAUCUCCAGAUCUAACAAGACUGGUCAGCUUGCACCAAUGCUUGUGUCCAGUCUUUUCUUGCACCUGCCAGACAUGCCUGCCAUUCAAGACCCUCGAAACUGCUGAGGCUGCUUCCUGGUAGCCUCUCUGGUGAUAUGAGUAGCAGUCCAGUCAUCCUUGUUCUACAUCUAGUAUCCUCCUAUGACAUUCAUAAAAAUAUCUACCCUUUCUUCAAUGUUCUGGCCAAAGCUUCCAGUAUACUGAGUUGCAGUGUUGAACAUGGGCAUGUUUUUCAUGCUCCACACUUUUGAGAAAAUCAUUUCAAGUAUUCCUCAUUAAACACAUCGACUGAA